rnacentral:rRNA from 1 species
GUGCCAGCAGCCGCGGUAAGACGAACCGAGCGAACGUUGUUCGGAAUAACUGGGCUUAAAGGGCGCGUAGGCGGGCCGCCAAGUUCGAGGUGAAAUCCUCCGGCUCAACCGGAGAACUGCCUCGAAUACUGGAGGCCUCGAGGCGGGUAGGGGCGUGCGGAACUGUGGGUGGAGCGGUGAAAUGCGUUGAUAUCCACAGGAACUCCGGUGGCGAAGGCGGCACGCUGGACCCGAUCUGACGCUGAGGCGCGAAAGCCAGGGGAGCAAACGGGAUUAGAAACCCGCGUAGUCC